GUAUGGCAUACAGGUGAGAUGUAACGGUACAUCUGCACUGAACGUGACCGACUCCGGAGCUAUUUCUGCUGUCAAGAUUUGCUCCGAUGGGAUAUGGGUAUAAAUGUCCCUCUGACCUGAGACCGCCAUGGUGACUUGCAAGCAACUCACUGCACUUAAGCACUGGACUACCUGAAUUUCUAAUUCAGUGACGGAAGGCUGCUGAGUGUAGUCAAGUACUUGACUUGUCGAUGCGUGUGUCAAGAUGGGAUUGACCACUCCAAUUUAGGAGCUGUGUACAGUCGUGUUUCAAUUUAGCAAAAUCUUAGCCAGGGUAGUCCUAGUGAGGAGUCACAGGACUAAUUGAGUUGAGCAUGAUUCGGAUGAUCUCAUCAGGGUUGACAGUUUAACCCUGAGUCGUCCUAAACACAGGGGUCAAAAGGGAUGAAUUAUACGGUAACCAUAUUCAC
rnacentral:lncRNA from 1 species